CGAGCGAAGCGCUUCGUUUUGAAUCUUCGGAGGAAGAACGGAAUGACUGAGCGGCGGACGGGUGAGUAACGCGUGGGCAACCUGCCUCAUACAGGGGGAUAACAGUUAGAAAUGACUGCUAAUACCGCAUAAGACCGCGGUACCGCAUGGUACAGCGGUAAAAACUCCGGUGGUAUGAGAUGGGCCCGCGUCUGAUUAGCUAGUUGGCGGGGUAACGGCCCACCAAGGCGACGAUCAGUAGCCGACCUGAGAGGGUGACCGGCCACAUUGGGACUGAGACACGGCCCAAACUCCUACGGGAGGCAGCAGUGGGGAAUAUUGCACAAUGGGGGAAACCCUGAUGCAGCGACGCCGCGUGAGCGAUGAAGUAUUUCGGUAUGUAAAGCUCUAUCAGCAGGGAAGAAGAUGACGGUACCUGACUAAGAAGCCCCGGCUAACUACGUGCCAGCAGCCGCGGUAAUACGUAGGGGGCAAGCGUUAUCCGGAUUUACUGGGUGUAAAGGGAGCGUAGACGGCGGUGCAAGCCAGAUGUGAAAGCCCGGGGCUCAACCCCGGGACUGCAUUUGGAACUGUAUGGCUGGAGUGUCGGAGAGGCCGGCGGAAUUCCUAGUGUAGCGGUGAAAUGC
rnacentral:rRNA from 1 species